CAUUCAGUAAGCAAUAUAUAAAUCCUGCCUGCAGCUGCAAAAGGGCUCCUGUCUUCAGUACCCACUUCAUUUAUUUGAAAACAAAGCAAAGAACCUCGCUCAACAGCUUUUACAGGAACUUGGGUGAGUCACAUAUGACUGCCGUGACCGUUUCCAUCUGUGAUCCUAACUAUGAAUAUCCCUAACUAUGGCGUAAACAAAGGUCUCACUCUGUUUCCUGGGC
rnacentral:lncRNA from 1 species